rnacentral:rRNA from 1 species
AUUGAACGCUGGCGGCAUGCCUCACACAUGCAAGUCGAACGGCAGCACGGGUGCUUGCACCUGGUGGCGAGUGGCGAACGGGUGAGUAAUACAUCGGAACGUACCUUAUCGUGGGGGAUAACGCAGCGAAAGCUGUGCUAAUACCGCAUACGCCCUGAGGGGGAAAGCGGGGGAUCGCAAGACCUCGCGCGAUUAGAGCGGCCGAUGCCUGAUUAGCUUGUUGGUGGGGUAAAAGCCCACCAAGGCGACGAUCAGUAGCUGGUCUGAGAGGACGUUCAGCCACACUGGGACUGAGACGCGGCCCAGACUCCUACGGGAGGCAGCAGUGGGGAAUUUUGGACAAUGGGGGCAACCCUGAUCCAGCAAUGCCGCGUGAGUGAAGAAGGCCUUCGGGUUGUAAAGCUCUUUUGUCAGGGAAGAAACACCGGCUCUAACACAGUCCGGGAAUGACGGUACCUGAAGAAUAAGCACCGGCUAACUACGUGCCAGCCGCCGCAGUAA